GCCUCGCAGCGUCAGUAAAGAGGUGGAACAAGAAAUGCUCGCAAACUUUCAAAGAAUAAUUUUUUCCGUCGUAGUCAGCGAUUUCAUAGUUUUUGCCGUCUUCUUCUCGCGGGCGCCUAAACAUUACCCUGAAAUUUACCUCGAGCUGCAAUAUUUUCUGAUGUCGCCAGUCACGAAAGUUCCAUUACGUCACGCAGCGAAAGAGCUCUGGUUUGUCACAUUGCGUCUUGCUGACUAGGAUUUCGCGAUUCUGGAUCCAGAGCCUUACCUUGUAUCGGUUAAUCCAACUGCCAAACUCCACAUGAUGGGAGCGUCUGCUACAACCCCGUCAGCCUACGUAAAGCGGCUGAUAAACGCUGCGCUUGCUUUACGGGAUCGUCGACGCACUUUCACAAGGAUGAUGAAUCCGAUUAUCGGCAAAGCACUAUUUCUCACUCUUGGCACGAGUAUGUGGUUGUGGAUGCAAGCCUACGUCAAACUGCAGAUUGCAAUUCACGGUGAACAUGUUUUGAAGCCUCUCAAUCGGACAGUACCGAAUGACUUCUACAGUGACUCCUUCGGACAACACGAGUACGCAGAACUAACGAAUAUUACCAUGCAUUAUGUGACAAAAGGCUGUGAUGUUGAGAAGCGUCCUGUUGUUCUUCUCUUGGGCAUGGAUUUCUCGAUUUUUGGUACAUCUGGAACAGGCAGAUCCCAACGCUUGCAGAUGAUUUCUGCGUUGUAGCGCCGGAUCUACGCGGCUACGGCAAUACUUCACGACCAAAGGACAGCGCGCAGUACCUGAUGGCGAACCUCAUUGAGGAUGUCAAAGGACUACUUGACAAAAUAAAUCCUCAACACAAGAAAAAUGUCGUACUUGUCGGGCAUGACUGGGGUGGCAUGAUCGCCUUCUGCUUCGCAACGGUAGUACGAAAAGAUGAUCGACAAGAUGGUAAUCAUCAAUGGCGUGCAUCCUCUCGCUUACACGAAGCAGCUUUUCCGAAGUCUCAAUCAGAUGAGGAUGUCCUGGUUCACGAUUCCUUUUCUACACCCCGUUGUUCCGGAGCAGUACCUGAUGCUAAAAGACUUCGGGUUUUUUGACAAGGUGCACAAGACUUUCACUGCCAGUGAGAAACACGCUCACAAAUAUGUGUUUUCACAGCAAGGUGCACUUACCGGGGCUCUAAACUACUACCGCUCCUUUAACAACGACAGCGGCGAGCUUCAGAGACUACCCUACCGAAAGAUCAAUGUAUCCACGCUGAUUCUCUGGGGAGAGAAAGACGAAUUUUUUACCAGGCGCAUCGCGUCGUACAACCAAGAAUGGCUGAAGAAUUCAGAGUUGGUGUACUAUCCUCGAGCGGGCCACUGGCUCACACGGGAUUGUUCCGAACAAGUCACAACAAGGAUCCGCUGGUUUGUGCAAAAUACGGUACCAAGAAUUACCCCAAGUACACCGAUGGACAGAAAAAGUCAGCUUCAAUGCAAAGAAUCAAUGACGCCAUCGACGCCAGGGUUGCCACUGACUUUCGAGUAAAUGUCGCCAAACAACGAGCAGAAAGUCGCCAAAAGUCGCCAUUUUUUUAGAAAUUUCGCCAAAAAAGUCGCCAUUCUAGAUGUGUGCGGCAUAUCCUAGUAAUAGAAAUUUCCACUGAUGUAUAGCCCCGUAGAAUACAGUGUCAUUCAAAGCCCUUAAAGUAUAUUGACAUUUCUCAAUGCCAGGCGCAUCGCCCCUUCACCAUGGGAGUGCUGGGUGUACCUGGUUCUCCGACUAGCCGCAAGAUGUGCGC